CGUGUGUUCACCAGUGAGCACAACUGCCAUCCAGCAGCCGUGAGAGCAGAGCUGAGAACUUCCUGCCCUCUAGGGAGAAGGGGAAGCUGCCUUGUGUUAAAGGCCAGCCAGCAAGCCACAGGCAGGAAAUGCUGACUGUGUUCUCAGAGUUUGCAAAAGGCCCAACAGGAGGGCCACCUCGGAAAAAGAAGCAUAUACUGCAGAUGAAAGGGGAAAGAUGUCAACUUGACGGAAGGAAGAUGAUCUGUGAUCCAGGAUUCAAGAGGCUUGGUGGUCGCUAUGACGACAGCAGUGAGUGCUUGCUGGGUACCUCGAUCCUGAUCCCAAGAGCUUUUCUGCUGCCUUUUAAAAACAUGUACGAAAGGAGACUCCAAUCAUUUCAUCCCCUUCUCGCUCAGUCCUUUCAGAAGCAGAGAAGGGAGCAGGUAGGCAGAAACCCAGAGAGGGCCUGUCUCUGCCUUGGGUUUUCUCCGUGCUGGGAACUUCUGUGCUCAAACCCUGGGUCCCAGAGCCUGCGAGGGACGAUAUGCUGCCCGACAAGCAUGUUCCUCUGGGGUUAACUCAGCCUUUGCAGCGACUCGGGACAUUUACCGUGGGCUGGAGGCCUUCGUGUAAAGCACCUUGUCACUUUUAUUGCUUCUCUUCGAAGAAAUAUUUGCACGAUUUUGAUUUUAUUAAUAGAUAUAUGUUUCUCGUAGCAAGAAAGGAUUCUUUGCAGACAGGAAUAUAUUUGGGUUUUCUCACAACCUUUCAAAGUAUCAGCCUCGGGUUUGGAAUUCACUCUCCCUAUCAGGAGAUGGGGGUUGAAAGAAUUUCUCAGACGUGACCCGUGAAGAGGAACAGGCCAGCUGAGGAGGCUGCUUUUAGCAGCACCCGUCGUGCAGACCUCCUGGUCCGGCCAGAGCAGAAAGGGCACAUUCUCACCUUCUCCCUACCGUGCCCCCUUCCAAAGAAGCCCGCGGUGCCCACAGUCACUGAGAGUCAGGAAGAAUCAGAAAAGACGGCAGCUGAGAAAUCUCCUAAAUUGAUGAAAAAAGAUAAGGCCAAUCAAAAGGAAUCAAAAAGCCGAGUCUAUCACAGUUAAAUUAGACUUUUAAAUAUGCUAUUGAGAUCAGAGGGGUUUGCGUGCAAUUGUCUCCUUAACUUUGGCAGGGAAAUCAUUAAUCAUUUGAUGUUAAAUUUAGGCAGAUUGUUGAAUAAAUGAGCACACUAGGCCCA
rnacentral:lncRNA from 1 species